rnacentral:rRNA from 1 species
UGCAUCUUGCUGUCUGGUGAGAGUGACCAACGGCGAUAAAAGCGCGACCGACCUGCCUGAUACGCAGGAAUAGCUCCCGUAAAGGGGCGCGGAGGCCGGACGCGCCACUUUUCUUCUUGGGAUUGUGGGAAAGAUUUAUCGGUAUAAGAUGGGGUCGCGUCCUAUCAGCUUGUUGGUGGGGCAAUGGCCUGCCAAGGCUUCGACGGGUAGCCGGCCUGAGAGGGCGACCGGCCACAUUGGGACUGAGAUACGGCCCAGACUCCUACGGGAGGCAGCAGUGGGGAAUAUUGCACAAUGGGCGAAAGCCUGAUGCAACGACGCCGCGUGCGGGAUGAAGGCCUUCGGGUUGUAAACCGCUUUUGUUAGGGAGCAAGCGUAAGUGAGUGUACCUUUCGAAUAAGCACCGGCUAACUACGUGCCAGCAGCCGCGGUAAUACGUAGGGUGCAAGCGUUAUCCGGAAUUAUUGGGCGUAAAGAGCUCGUAGGCGGUUUGUCGCGUCUGGUGUGAAAGUCCAUCGCUUAACGGUGGAUCUGCGCCGGGUACGGGCAGGCUAGAGUGCAGUAGGGGAGACUGGAAUUCCCGGUGUAACGGUGGAAUGUGUAGAUAUCGGGAAGAACACCAAUGGCGAAGGCAGGUCUCUGGGCUGUUACUGACGCUGAGGAGCGAAAGCGUGGGGAGCGAACAGGAUUAGAUACCCUGGUAGUCCACGCCGUAAACGGUGGACGCUGGAUGUGGGGCCCAUUCCACGGGUUCCGUGUCGGAGCUAACGCGUUAAGC